GACGAACGCUGGCGGCGUGCUUAACACAUGCAAGUCGAACGGAAAGGCCCUGCUUUUGUGGGGUGCUCGAGUGGCGAACGGGUGAGUAACACGUGAGUAACCUGCCCUUGACUUUGGGAUAACUUCAGGAAACUGGGGCUAAUACCGGAUAGGAGCUCCUGCUGCAUGGUGGGGGUUGGAAAGUUUCGGCGGUUGGGGAUGGACUCGCGGCUUAUCAGCUUGUUGGUGGGGUAGUGGCUUACCAAGGCUUUGACGGGUAGCCGGCCUGAGAGGGUGACCGGCCACAUUGGGACUGAGAUACGGCCGAGACUCCUACGGGAGGGAGCAGUGGGGAAUAUUGCACAAUGGGCGGAAGCCUGAUGCAGCAACGCCGCGUGCGGGAUGACGGCCUUCGGGUUGUAAACCGCUUUCGCCUGUGACGAAGCGUGAGUGACGGUAAUGGGUAAAGAAGCACCGGCUAACUACGU
rnacentral:rRNA from 1 species